rnacentral:rRNA from 1 species
AUUGAACGCUGGCGGCAGGCCUAACACAUGCAAGUCGAGCGGAUGAAGAGAGCUUGCUCCUGGAUUCAGCGGCGGACGGGUGAGUAAUGCCUAGGAAUCUGCCUGGUAGUGGGGGAUAACGUCCGGAAACGGGCGCUAAUACCGCAUACGUCCUGAGGGAGAAAGGGGGGGAUCUUCGGAUCUCACGCUAUCAGAUGAGCCUAGGUCGGAUUAGCUAGUUGGUGGGGUAAAGGCCUACCAAGGCGACGAUCCGUAACUGGUCUGAGAGGAUGAUCAGUCACACUGGAACUGAGACACGGUCCAGACUCCUACGGGAGGCAGCAGUGGGGAAUAUUGGACAAUGGGCGAAAGCCUGAUCCAGCCAUGCCGCGUGUGUGAAGAAGGUCUUCGGAUUGUAAAGCACUUUAAGUUGGGAGGAAGGGCAGUAAGUUAAUACCUUGCUGUUUUGACGUUACCAACAGAAUAAGCACCGGCUAACUUCGUG